ensembl:lncRNA
CUAAUUAUGUCAGAUAUUUUGGCUGGUCAAAUGGAUAGUAUUACACACUUGUUCUACUUUAAUAGUCAGAAUUCCACAAGGAGGCUUUGUAGUUAUAUUACGUUUAAACUUCAAGUCAAUGCACCUUCUAAUGAAGUUAAUUGUGUCGCCGGUGGGUGUUUUCUGGUCAUCAGUACCAGCGUAUUUACCCCCGCUUCAGUGAGUUUAUCUUGUGUUUAUUGCUGCUCAUACAAGCACCGAAAGGCCUUCUACAGCUGCUGUGGGGCGGUGGAUGUCUGCUAUGGCCGAUGAUACCUCAUUUCAGAUGCCCAGCAGGUGUCGUGUGCUGUUGUGAGUGUGAGUUUCACAAAUUUGGCCUAGCGGAGCAUCACUGCAUGCAAGCACAUGACAGCGCCCAGCUGCAGGGGAGACCCAAAGGACAACAGUAUAAAGUGGUGCAUUUGAAAGCAGAGGCCUCCGUCUCUCUCGCCUCCAGUCACGGCCAAUCCAGUAGUGAGCAAGAGCCGGCCUCUGGAGAAAGGGUGAUGAUCCCGACUGAGCUUUUCAUUUAACAAGGAGCUGCAAGGAUUUCCAGAGAACUGCACUGUGGAGGUCCUUAGUGUAGUCAGGAAUGCUGCAAUGCCACUUGCAGACUGCAGAGUCCAGGGAGCCCUAAAAAGGAAGGAGUCUCUCUCUGAUUCCCGGCAGCUUGGCGAGCAGCGGAGGCUAAAUUAGGCCUGGUUUCAUUGACUUUCAAUCCCCAGGGUGGCUGCCGCCCUGCAGCCCAGAGGAUGAGAGAUGGGGGGCCUCGGAUGCUUCGUCGGAGCUUCUCCAGACACUGACUGGGAAGGUUGGAGUGUCAGAUGGAGGGACGAUACGGCUCGGAUUGAGAUCGGUUGCAUCUUCUGUUAACAUUCUAAGUUAACGGAAAAGAAACACGGAUAACAUGGAAGGUUCUGUGAUGUUUUUCAUUUUGAAACCAAAAAUCAUAAACUUGAGUUAUAACAUAUUGUGUUGCUUGUGUACAAUAAGUACAAUAAGUAUAUGUGUUUUGGGAUAAAAUCUGCUAUGUUACUGCUCCUCCGUGCACAUCCACAGAGACAGGUGAAGAAAACAGUCAGCUUUGAGGAGCUCGAAAAGGUUAGUUGUCCUCGAGUAGAAGCCUGUAUUUGAGUGUGUAUUUUAUUUUAUUCCUCGUACACUGUUGUCUUGUCGUCCAUUGUCGUACUGUCUGCUGUUAUGCACCAACCGCCAAGUCAAAUUCCUUGUAUGUCUGACAUAUUAUGGCAAUAAAUGUUUCCUGAUUCCUGAAAGACACCACACGUGUCCAUGUCAGCUUGUGUCUGUAAGGGUUGCAGGGGGAGAGAAUGAUUCUUUUGAAUCAUCUUAUGAUAUAUAUAUAUAUAUAUAUAUAUAUCCAACCCCCUGGGAUUGGAACCUCUGCUUGAGGUUAUAAUACAUUUCAUAGUGACUAAAUAGUGCACAUUCUAAAGGACAUUUUCAUAUUAUAUAUCAAAUUAUCUAAUGC